rnacentral:rRNA from 1 species
AGAGUUUGAUCAUGGCUCAGAUUGAACGCUGGCGGCAGGCUUAACACAUGCAAGUCGAACGGACUACUUCGGUAGUUAGUGGCGAACGGGUGAGUAAUGCCUAGGAAUCUGCCGUUUAAUGGGGGAUAACGUUCCGAAAGGAACGCUAAUACCGCAUACGCCCUACGGGGGAAAGCAGGGGAUCUUCGGACCUUGCGUUAAACGAUGAGCCUAGGUCGGAUUAGCUAGUUGGUGAGGUAAAGGCUCACCAAGGCGACGAUCUGUAGCGGGUCUGAGAGGAUGAUCCGCCACACUGGAACUGAGACACGGUCCAGACUCCUACGGGAGGCAGCAGUGGGGAAUAUUGGACAAUGGGCGAAAGCCUGAUCCAGCCAUGCCGCGUGUGUGAAGAAGGCCUUUUGGUUGUAAAGCACUUUAAGCGAGGAGGAGGGCACUUGGGCUAAUAUCCUAAAGUGUCGGACGUUACUCGCAGAAUAAGCACCGGCUAACUCUGUGCCAGCAGCCGCGGUAAUACAGAGGGUGCGAGCGUUAAUCGGAAUUACUGGGCGUAAAGCGCGCGUAGGCGGUUAUGUAAGUUGGAUGUGAAAUCCCCGGGCUUAACCUGGGCACUGCAUUCAAAACUGCAUAGCUAGAGUAUGGGAGAGGAAGGUAGAAUUCCAGGUGUAGCGGUGAAAUGCGUAGAGAUCUGGAGGAAUACCGAUGGCGAAGGCAGCCUUCUGGCCUAAUACUGACGCUGAGGUGCGAAAGCAUGGGGAGCAAACAGGAUUAGAUACCCUGGUAGUCCAUGCCGUAAACGAUGUCAACUAGCCGUUGGGGACCUUGAGUCCUUAGUGGCGCAGCUAACGCGAUAAGUUGACCGCCUGGGGAGUACGGUCGCAAGACUAAAACUCAAAUGAAUUGACGGGGGCCCGCACAAGCGGUGGAGCAUGUGGUUUAAUUCGAUGCAACGCGAAGAACCUUACCU